rnacentral:rRNA from 1 species
GACGAGUCUGACGAACGUUAUUCGGAAUUACUGGGCUUAAAGGGUGCGUAGGCGGUGGAGUAAGUCGGAUGUGAAAUACCUUAGCUCAACUAAGGAACUGCACUCGAUACUACUUUGCUAGAGUAAGACAGAGGUGAGUGGAACUGAGGGUGGAGCGGUGAAAUGCGUUGAUAUCCUCAGGAACACCGGUGGCGAAGGCGGGUCUCUGGGCCGAAACUGACGCUGAGGAGCGAAAGCGUGGGGAGCAAACAGG